AUUGAACGCUGGCGGCAUGCCUUACACAUGCAAGUCGAACGGCAGCACGGGGCAACCUGGUGGCGAGUGGCGAACGGGUGAGUAAUGCAUCGGAACGUACCUUUCAGUGGGGGAUAACGUAGCGAAAGUUACGCUAAUACCGCAUAUUCUGUGAGCAGGAAAGCAGGGGAUCGCAAGACCUUGCGCUGAUUGAGCGGCCGAUGUCAGAUUAGCUAGUUGGUGGGGUAAAGGCUCACCAAGGCGACGAUCUGUAGCGGGUCUGAGAGGAUGAUCCGCCACACUGGAACUGAGACACGGUCCAGACUCCUACGGGAGGCAGCAGUGGGGAAUUUUGGACAAUGGGGGCAACCCUGAUCCAGCCAUGCCGCGUGAGUGAAGAAGGCCUUCGGGUUGUAAAGCUCUUUCGGCCGGGAAGAAAUCGCACGGGCUAAUACCCUGUGUGGAUGACGGUACCGGAAUAAGAAGCACCGGCUAACUCUGUGCCAGCAGCCGCCGUAAUAC
rnacentral:rRNA from 1 species